GCAAACUUCAAAAUCACAAAUGCCAGUUCCCUAUCCGCGGCGCGAUCACCAUCCAAUGCGAAAUUUCAUUCAAAUUAUAUAGGUUAUCGCGUCGCUGCCCUUUGUCAAUUCCGAUUAAUUACACUUGGAGUUUAUUAACCGCAAAUGGCAUUUACGUGCGGCUGUCGAAAAGACUUUUAAGCUUGGGUCCGAUUAAACGCUUGAUUACCAAACCAGACAGUCCAAUAUUAUAAAUAUCUGAUGGAACGCAAAGAAAAAUAAAUUCUAUACGACCGGAUGAAAGAUACGUACUGGUAGAUUAAGAAUUUUAUGAAAAUCGUAUAUUCGAUUAAAAAAAAAAAGAAGAAGAAUGAUACGUAUUGAUAAAUUGGAAACUGUAAAUCAUCCAUUAUUUGCCGAGUAAGUAUCUUGAAGAUGUAUAAAUUGGGUGAAAAAUAAUGACGAAUGAACGUUAGUACGAGAGACAUUAACAAAAGAAGAACAUAGCGAAUUAGAAUUGCAUAUUCACCGAAGUAAGAAACACGUGAUGGUAAUUUGAAAAUUAGACGUAAAAUACCACGAAUUUGAAAACUAAACAAAGUUGUAACGUAUGAGAUCCAAUAGGGAAAACAUUAAUUACGAUAUACUAAAUCAUGUUGUGAGCGAUUUAAUGCGACAAAAAUUAACGAAGAUAUACUCUUCAUUUUUAAUUAGACCCUGCGUAAAAUCAUACAGGGGAAAAGACAAUUUUCUGAUAAAGGAAGACCAUCUCUCUGAACAAACGAAAAACUAGCCGAGCCAACUCGAUCAUCGUUAGGAAAUGACGUCCACCCCGUCACGAUGUGCAGCGGCAUCGUAAUACGAUAAUAAGACGAAUCGAACAGAGGUACGAUACGGAUCUUUCAUAAGGCGGCUUUAAAGCAAUCGUAAAAACGUAGCAGCGACCAGCAGUUGCCGUAAAAAUCCCAGAAGUGCUCAACGCAAAUCCUUCUUAUCGAGAGAAAGGAAACUUUCAUCUCGAACAAAUAGCGACACGAAUCCCCGUUGUCCAGCAACAGUAAAUCGAUGAGUUUGGCUCCGUGCAGCUAUUUGCCGGAAAACCGUUCGACCAGGAAACUCGAAAGCAUCGAAGAGAGCAUGAACUAUGAAGGAGAGAAAAAGUAGAAGAUAGGUGAAGAGGGAAAAGGAAACAGACGAUUCUGGUUAGCUUUCGAGAAAGAAGGGGAAGAUUUAUGGUGGUCACUUUAUCGAGAGCGACCUAGUGCUCGAUCAUUUACGAGCUACACCUACGCCAAGGAGCAUUUUUUCCCUUUUCUAAGACUACUACGUCAUUCCGAGUAUUUUUCCUUCUUUGUCCUUUUUUCACGGUCGGGAAAGUGACCUAGCAGAAACGUGACCUUGAUACGGUUACGUUCCUCUCGAUAAACUCGUAUCGAUAGGGGCCACCAGAGACGUAGGCGGAUGAGAAAAGCUUCGACGAGUAUUAAUGACUCUUCUAUCGCGUGGAAAAUUUGAUUCGCCGUGAGACAGUGUCGUUUUUCAAAAUUCGAGGCUCGAAGCAACAGAAUUAUAGCUUUAGCUUUGGCGUUUUCUUCCAGAUCUUAAGAUCCUCUUAAAUCGCCGUUCUUACGACAUUGCGAUCACGAUGAUACAGGAAAUGCAGUUAGAUACGACUAGGAAGAAUUAAUUGGUAUUUUCUUAAAUCGUUCGGAAGGUAAACCCACGGAAAAAGUCGAAGAGAAGAGAAGAAUCAAAUAGCGAGCACGAUAGAAGUGGAAAUAUUUGAAGAAAUGUGAGCUCGAAGCUAAAAACGAUUGUCAGAGAUGUAUAUUAGAUUAUUGCUAGAAUACUCUAUGCAGGAAAUGGAAUAAUAAUCCAUGGGAAAAUGUAUCGAAUAUUUAUCGGAAAAUUCGUAAAACUUUGGGCGAAUAUUUCUCGGAAGAGGGAAUUAAUUAAAAUGAAUUUAACGAUUGAUCUCGUUGGAACACCAUCGUUGUAUUUUUAUAAGCACGGUGAAAGAACGAAUCGAAACCCUUUGAAACUCUAAAGAUCAUGCUUAAUUCGCUGAUAAAUAAGAAACUACAGAGACUCGUUGAAGUUGGUACGAAAUCUGGGAAAAAUGACAGGAUCAAAGAGUUAAAGGGAACCGUUGGUCGCCACUUUAAAAACUCAGCGAACCGCAUUCCACGCGUUCAACGCGUCAAAGCCUGUCUGGUUCAAAGCGAAACUUGCCAAAAAUCUGCCGUAACGUGCCCGAUCGCGCCACUAAUUCCCAACGCUUCUUCGCUUUACCGUAUAAGCAGGCGCGUCACAGUGUUUGGCGAGUUGUGUACGCGCGUUUCACAAGAAACGUCGACAACAAACACGAAUCGCUCGUUCAUCGUGGAAAAUUCGACAGACCAUGGCCACGUAGCGAAGACUCAAUGACGAGGGAUCGACACUGACUGAUCGGCGAAGGGAACUUUCCUCUCUCGACUAUUUUUAACGCGAGGGUCAAAGACGAUCGAAGACGAAAGGAACGGCGAUGGGAUGAAUUUGGCGAUGUAAACGACUCGCGCGGCCACGUAGACUCUACAAGCCACUGGUUUCUGUUUUUCGAGACGCGUGUCCGCCUCAUCGCGAAAUGUCGGACGCGGAAACGCGUAUUAAUAGUCCGGUGGAAAUGGAAUCUAGGUGAGCAACGGAGAAACAGACGGCCGAACGAGCUGUUACGCGGCGAGCUUCGGCCGAGGGUGAGACGAAUUCGCGCCGGAUUCCAAUGGAUGUUCGCGAAUUUAUUGCCCGGCCGUCCGAUCGAUCGUCGAACCAGUGACUUUCGCGUGCUUUCACGGAGAAUUUCGCAAUCUACCGCCAACGUGUUCUGGCCCGUUGGAUUAAGUUGUUAGCGUGCUGUUUCCAUUUAGUGCGCCGGUUGUUGCCUGUGUACCAUGGGAUUAAUGAGAUUCGGUCGAGUUUAAGGUUUUUGUGUUUCUAUUUCACAGCUGCAAUUAACGCAGUUGUUACCAUUAAAGUAUGGUUAUAGCUUCUGGAUAUUUACGCAGUUUAACAGACUUUGUCUAAUAGAUAUCGUUUAUUUAAACGUAACGGUCAGUUUUGCGUUUGCCUUCUUAAAUUCUUUCAACGAGGUGCAUAAUUUUAAAACUGUAAUUGCUAUGUCGGUAGCGUUGCAUAGAAUCUAAUAAUAAGUAUGACAAUUGAAUCGAUGCAACAUACGAGCCAGUAGCAGUGGCCGCAUUAAAAAGCACAACGAUCACGAUAUAAUAUACGUACGUGAGAUGGCGCUAUUCCGUAAAUUUUUCGUCGUUCCGAGUGCUGAGAAAAUACCACGACAGAGUUCGAGUAAUUAACGAAUCAUGCUCGUACGAAACUAAACAAGAACACCUGGAGGAAAGUAAACGAAAGCGUCCCGAUCGAUGAAUCGUGUACGGAAGGAUCGGUUUGACGAGCACACAGCUGCGCAUGCGCGCAAUCGCAGCGACACGUUUGAAAUAAUUCAACAACCAAGUCACGAGAAUCACGAGAUCUCGAGACAGACAAGAGCUGGCGGCAAUCCGUGAAGGCUCAGCAGACCGCCGUCUGGAUGCCGGCCAGGAAGCGUAAUACUGUGAAAUUGCCGGUGGAACGAGGCAAAAAGCGCGCGAGAACGUGUACCAACGUCGUCGUCGAUUCGCGGCGUGCUUUCCUCGCGAGUGAAUCGCGAGUUACGCUCCCUCUGUGCGCCCAGGGAGGGUGGCCGGCCCGAAAUUUGCAUUGCAGAGUGAAAUUAGCUUGGUAAAAAGUGGCCGGCCCCAUAAGGAAUUUGCAAUGUUAACGAGGCCGAUCGCCGCGUUUCUGAUGCACACCGAGAACCCGGAGAGCUGAGUCAAUGGUCGGUAUAGAAGCUUUCUGCUUAAGCAACGGCCGUUGGAACAGCAUUGAUUUCAUCUUUCCUCGCAAGGUGGCAACAACUUCAACAAUCGCGACCGCCAUGGAUAUUAACACGGAUAAAACUGUGGCCAACUUCAACGAUCGAUUAACUGGUGAACUUCGUCUAAUUGCUGCAGCGCUAAUUAAAAUCAAGAACAAGAAGUUGGAAUCAAAUUAGGAAAGGCGGAACCGUGUGUCUCCAGCGAUAUGUCGCCAACCACCAUAAACUUGAAAAGGCUGCAAUUAGAUGUGCACUUAACACCUUUCGAAUCCAUAUGUGUUUGAAGAGGAACAAUGCUGCUUCAGUCAUCAAGGAUGAUAAAUCAUACCCUUCGGUGUUAACUUCAUAAACUGUGACACCCGGUAGAGAGGAAAGCGACCGCGUAGCGAGGAACGACCACCCGUAGAGGGCUUCGCAACUGAAAUCGUAAUAAUUACUAAUUAAGCAACAGGCACACUUGAAUCCGUAAUUACUGCUCCCUUGGCACAGCUACGCAACAAUUUUUAAUUAUUACGAGCCACCCAACGGAGAACAAUCUGAAUGCCUGCCUUCCCUUCGAACGAAACACUGGCACGUGCUUUUUUCUCCUUUUUCACAAGAUAGUUCCAGCUUUUUAUUUUCUCGCUGCGCUGCUAAUACGCGGAAUACGUUUGUUCUCGUAUUUUUAGAUAUUAUUGUCUUUGGGUGAUGAGCUGGAGGUUUGUUCGAUAUCUCUGAAAUACGGCCCAAUGCAUUUUAAUUAAUGGAAUUAUUAGUUGUGACGACAGAAAAUCUACGAAUGUAACUGUACGUAAUUCUAUGAUAUUAGUUAGACGUAUGAUGUCGAUAGAGUUAGAAACUUUUGGUAGGAUUAAUUAUUCCAUAUGUCACAGCUUAGAAAUUAUUUAAGUAUAGACUUAAGUUGGCAAUUUUUGAAUAUUGAUAUUUAUCGUAUUUAUUUUAUAUAUGUAUUGUAUAAAAAUUGUACUAUGCUGAACGCUUCGUCGUGCAUUUAGAGGAGAUAAUACGAAGGUGGUAUAAUUGAUGAUUCGGUACAAAGCUAUUGGUCGGUGGUAUUCCAUCAUAGGACAGAUUGACAGGUCGAUGGAUCCGUUGAAGAGCAGAUUUAGGAUACUAUUUGUCCGUUAUUUGUCGAAAAUGACAAAACCUAACUUUGGACCAACACGUGAUAUUACAGUCAUAUGAAGAACUUUUUUUUCAGUGAAACGAAUUACGCGUUGCAAUAAUGGAAAACGAUUUAAUUAGUUUCAUCCGAUAAACGUACACGGUCAGCGUUGUUCGAGGAAAAUAAACGAUGCAUCGACAACGAAUUGUUGCUAUUUAUUAUAUUGUAACUAUUUCCACGAUACGACACACUGUUAUCAUAAAGUUUCUACGUUGUCGGUGAAGUUCCUGCAGUGAAACGUUACACGCGAAUUCAUGACGAAAUGUGUUCAUUAAAAAUUUACAUACUCCAUACGCGAAAGAUCGUUUGCUGCCAAGAGAGAUGAGUUUAUUUAUGUAAUGUAUUUUAAUUAGCUUUGACGAGAUAGUAUGUAUGACUGUCUAUCGCGUAGUAUGUAUAAUUUAUUAGAAGGCGGGUGAAACUUCACGAGGCAUCGUAAGAAAGUAUGCGCGAAUAAAAUCUUAAUUAAAAUUAGGAAAAACUUCCAUGAAACUUGGUAUGUUAAAUCAACACCUAAUGUAAAAUUGUUCUUGGAUGAAAUCUUUCUGAUUGAAUUCUUUCAAUUUACAUGCAAAUGUUAUGUUUUAUUCAAGCUUUCGUUUGGAUAAAGAUGAUUUGCCCGUAACAUUUUUAUACAUUUUUACUUGAAAUAAGUUUUACAAAGUUUCAUCUAUACAGCAAAAGAAGCUCUGUAUUUGAAAUUUGAUUAGUUAUUAUUCGUUGGCAUGAUACUCAUUCAUGGUUACGUAGUGAAACAAUAUUUGUCGUAUAUUAGGAAUUCCUUCAUUAAAAAUAUCGUUAUGGGCCACUUGUAUGAAAAAACAUUGUAAAUUUUUGUCGUAGACAUAGUUGAAAGUAUCAGGAAUCUACAUAUUUCGUAAAGCUUAUGAAAUUCGUACACCACUAAAGGAACAAAUUUUUAGAAACGAUCGAUGUUACUUAAUUUUUAAAAGAGAAAAGUGAAACUUGUCUUGUAUCGUUAUGUAUCGCUCCAAAGACCUUUGACGUUCAACGUUUCAUUUUCGUAAAUCUUUUUUCUGUUUAACUUUUCCCGCAAAAAUAAUUUUGUCGUGAAGCGUAAUUGCUCGUGGAGCAAUUAUUUUCGUUAAUGAGAACAAUUCGUCUGAAAAGUUCUCGUAUCUCGUGGAAUAUGCUAAACUAUACAUCACUUUCUAUCUUGUGGAAAUGAGCAGUACGAAACCGGCUAGGUAAAUAUCAGGCGUGGAAGUAAACUCUCUCUGCCAUGAACAGCAUAAUUUUCAACGGUGCCGGUGCCAUUUCUGCAACUAGUACAGUCAUCUGUUACGCAGCCGAGCCAGUUAUCAACGGUCUAACGAAUGUUUACAGUAAUUCGGUGCUAUUAUUCAUUGGCGGUUCUCUAACGCGAAACUUCGCUUAGAUCAGGAUGCGUUCAAUUUCUGCCGGUCCCCUGUUCAUUGGCAUUCCUCGUGGAUAAUUAUAUCCAUUAAAUUGCGUUUCUACAGUAUAGUCGGAUUCGUCGAGUGACAAAGUCGACUCUUGAUUGUCACCAACGACGUUUAAGUUGGCCGCGUUGAUUCCUGUGGAUUCCCUUGUAACUGCGCCCCGUUCAUUUCGUCGUAAUGAACGCUCGAAGCGGAAAUGAUCCUCUCUUACUGACACUUUUCUUACUUUGGUCCUUUCAAAAGAGAUAUCCUUUGAACGCAUCCGAAGCGAACGUAAAGGGAAUCGAAUAAGAAGGGCGGUUCAAAAAUGAUAAAACGAGAAGUUUGUUCGAAGCGAUCAGGGAAGGUGUUGCUGUUCAAUUAAAGCUUAAUGAAAAUUUUCGUUUUCGUUUUACACGAUUUUUCACUGUGUGAUCGUAAAGGAAUGAAAAGGAAGGUAGGUUAAAUGAAAUGGCAGAGCGAAAGGUGUGUUGGAAGAGAUGAAAGAAAGUGUUGACGUUCGACUAAUGCUGAAUGAUAGUUCCCAUUUUAAAUAUGGCCACGUUGUUUGGCCAUAAGACAUAAAUAGUAUUCGGUAUUUCUCUUAAACAAAUGUUCUUUAGAUUUAGGAUUCUCUCAAUGAUCUUACUUUCAUAAUACAGUUAUUCUUACUGUCAUGUUAGAUUUUAUUUUUGACCAAUAGUUUAAUACACUGCGCAAAACAAUUAAAGCAUCGCUAUCAUAAAUGGUUGUUACAUUAACUAAGUAAACGGAAACAGGAAAGUCCUAUAGUUUUAAUGUAUCGACAUGUCUCUCGUAUAAUACUGUGAUAAAGAUUGACUUAAUUAACGAUGAUCAUUAAAAACAAAUAUAGAGAAUCGACAUAAAAACCAAAGUGAUACGGGAAACGAUUUUCUACAUAAUUAUUUUAAACGGCAUAUUUACUUGUAUAACAAUCAAUAAUUUAAUAUAAAUGAAAUAUUUAUCAGACGUAAAAAUUACAAUCUAUCGUAGGAUUAAAUAUUAUCUUCUUCCAAUUUGUUACAUAGGUAUUAUUUCAAAUCGUGUGUUUUUCCAUCACUUCCGUCGACAAACAUUGCACACGUUAAUUUUAAAACUUUCAUAUAAAUUGAAAGCAAAUGGGAGAAUAUUCGCAAUAAAAAAUAAACGUACAUGAAAUACAUGAAAAUUGGCGCGUGGAAAAAUCAAACUAGCCUCGGAUUAAUCGUGAGCGUCGAUCGAAAAAAGCAAAUAUUAUUUCAAGCGUAGAGGAUGCAGAUACAGAGAUUCAGCGCGUACCAACGAACGUGAAACGAGUUCUUGCGUUUUAAGGCGAAAAGUUUCUCGUUAAUCUCUUUUCAACGGAGGUUACGAGAUUUUCAACCGCAACCGCAUACAGAAUCGUCGCCCACGUGCAUUUGCAUACACAGUGAAGCCAUUUGAAAUGGUGGCGGACGUAUCUAGGUAAGCUGUGUAAGGUCGUCUUUAGAAACCGCAAACGACGCUACCCUACGGCGCGGUCAUUAUUUAUUAAACUCGCGAUUUAAUAGCCUGGAAUUCCUUCUCGUAGAAAUAUCAACGAAUUCGCGGAGGUAUGUUCUGAUAUUUAUGACCCAAGAACGGGUCUUGUGCGACAACGAACGAAAUUGGAUGAGAAAGAAAAAUGGUUGUUUUAAUGGGUAGAAAAGUUUCCAGCUUCAAAACCAUGUGUUUGUAGUUCAAAUAAUUCCUAAUUGCUUGGUGUUUGCGAAUAAAAAAUGUGUAUCAUGUCAAACAGUUAAAACUCUACCACAAGACUAUCAAGUUAUUCGAUCGUUCUAUUUAACAGAAUGUUAUGAAAUUGUAAAGAACAAGUAUAUAACUUAUAACUUGUAAUUUGUCCAAAACUGUAUUAACAUUAUUAGUUGAAAAACUGUAGUGCAACCGAGCUUGGAUUAUGUGUAUAUAUUUAAGCCAACUAUUUGAAAGGAAAAAGCGUUUUCCAAGAAGCAAAUAUCUAUGUAAUAUGCAAAUUAUUCCAAAUAACAUACAAAUACAGAGUUGUCUAUAUUGCAAUUGCUAAUAGCAAUUUGCCUUUGCGAAGUACCGUCGUAUAGCAUUCACGGUCGCGUGUACAUUACGUUAGACGCGGCUGCGAAUGUAAACAAAUCGAUGUCAUGAAAUUAGCGCGAAUCGAAUCAUAUAGGCAAUCGACAUCAAAGGAUCAGUAAGCAAAUUAGCACGGAAUCAUCGGUUACUUCCUAACGACCCCUUUAAAAGCAAAGAGUCAUAAUGGAAGAUUUAUAAACCGUGCAAAUAAUCCGUGACAGCCUCUCGAUGCUCGCGUGCAUACGACGUGAAAUACGAUUCUCGCGGAAGCUCGUCUUACUUCGGACGGAAAUGACGUGAAAUGCGAACGUACACGCGUCAUCCUUGCAUUAUGCCUCUUAUUUGAGAAGGAAACCAUAUCUGACGCGUCACUACCGCCGCACAUAACUUGUUGAAACUUUGAAAAUUAGAUCUACGAUACGGAUGUACGCAAAUGUAACUUUCAAAGAAUGCAACGUGAACGCGAUGCAAGUUUUAAAGUACAACCGAGGGAGAAAAUUUAAAAAUCACUAGAAAUUAUAUGGUCGUUGUAAAAGUGAUGCGAUUUUAGUAAAAGUAGAAUAGAAAAUUUGAUGGGAAAGGACGAACAAUUAUAAUAGAAUGAGAGAAUUCGUUGCUGAUCAAUUGUCAACUGAGAAUCUUUCAUUUUUAUCUGUUAUCCACAAAAAUGAACAACCGCGUUACGGUUCUGAUUAAAUUACCAUGUUUAUUGGUAAAAAAUUUACGUUUUAUGAAAAUAUACAAAGAUCAUUGUAGACGCGUGUGUAACGUUUCCUUCCAAUUUUAUGCAAAAGAUUCUUUUAAAAUAUUAAAAACCAUCUUUGCUCGUUGAAACGAAAUAUUCUCUUUGAAAUAGAACUAGGUAUUUUCGCAACGUAUCUACAAAAUUCAAACGCUUGCGUGUUUAAUUAAAUUAAGCUGGAAGAACAUUUAAUUAUCACGAAACGUCUAAGUAACGUCACUCUUCAAGUUCCUCUACAAUUUGGACUUUGACGUACAUUUGGAUACUAAAUUUCCAACAAGCUUUAGAUUUAGUUCUAACAAGUCGCGCGCUAACUUUGAUGUAACUUAAACAUAAUUCCAACCCAAUUUGUAUGCGCAUUACAGACACGUAUAAGGACAAGUCUACGAACUUGGACACUAGGGACUAAACUAAAGGAUUAUCAAUAUGUAGUUAUCAACACCUGGCUCUCUUGAUAAAUUAAAUUAUAGUCCCUGCAAUAAAUCGCACGCAUAAAGUCUUACCCAUAACUUACACCGUAUACAAUUUCAUUCAAACGAUCUCAAAAUUCUAAGUAUCGUUAUUGGUGCCAGCAGAUUUGGUUACAGUUACCAUAAUACAAUUUUAGUUGUGUUGUAAAAUAUAUAUACGUCAAAGAAGAAGGAAUUCCCGCGACAUCAUCACGACGCAUCGGAUGACAUUUGCUAGGGCUGUGAAUUUUCUUGAGAAAUAAGCUCUCAUAGAAUUCUAUCAGACACCGGCUGCACCUCAGAAGAUAGGAAUAGCCCUAUUAUUCCUUUCUCCAGGGAAAAUGGGAAAAUCAAGAGAGAGGUUCUCGAGAGUUCAAGGGAAAGAGAGUGUACUAGGACAUUAGUUAUGAAUAUAUUCUGGCUAGAAUAUAAAGAAAAUUACUAUAGUCGACAUCACUAGAAAUAAUUAAAUCGUAUCUGUGUAUAAAACACAGUGCCUAUGUGUAUAUAUUGUAAAAGACACUAUCCGUUAAUAUAAUGCAGUAUAGUAUAAUGCAGAAGAUCGUGUUAAUUUACGAAAAUUGAUUCGCCGAGUCUACUUCUCGAGUCUAUAGGAUGAACAACUUGCGUAAUAUCCAAAAGCUUGACGAAAUAAGAAUUGCCACGCCCUAUCAACCAUGGCCAGUGACACGGUCAUCGAACAGACGACGUCAUUCACCCGGCCGUUUUCUUUUUUAUUGUCCGACGGUCCGCUUCCUUACGAUAUUCGUUUCGACUUUUCUUUAUUUCCGUUUGCUUAACGGUGCGGCCGCGAAACAAAGGGGAUGGAUGCCGAGGGGCGGUUAUCGCGCAGCGCUCUUUUGUGUCUGCUCCUCUUCCUGCGGGCUCAUCACCCAACCCUCCGCUAUUCCUCCGCGCGGUCUUUCGGCCUUCCAUAACUUUCCAUUCCUCUGCACGGUAUGCUCGCUACUUCGUCUAAUCACUGGGUACCUCGUCGAGGUAAAAAGGAAAACGGAACGCGGCCGGAAGUGGGCGCGGAAAGGAAAAGGGACGAAGCGAGGCAAGAGAAGUCACGACCCCUGCGUAAACGGCGUACUUGCGCGGAAAAAGACCGCGAUCGAGAUCGCGAUACUACCUUCCACCCUACAGAAAGGCGAAUCAGUUUUUUUUACGAGGUUGAAGGGUGGCUAAAAUUCGUCGGAUUCGUUCUUGAUGAAACAUGACAGGCGGACAAUUUUUGAUCAAAGUGGAAAGUUGUACGAACAUGUAGAUUGUUUGAUGUGGGUGUGUAACCUUCGGCUUAAAAGAGAUAAAUCGAUGUAUCAACGGUUUUUGUGUUUGUAACUGUAACACGUUUGUUUAAUAUCGAUCGGUCUUGUUUGAUGCGAAAUGCGAGGUUGUGCAAUAUGAUACGUUAUUGUUGAAUUUUAAUACUCCGUGGUUGUAGAUAAUUGUAAAAUAUAAUAAUAACAGAGUCUGGAUUUACACAUACGGAGUAUUAAAAGUCAAUGGAAUUUUGAGAUAUUUUUUCAUUAACGCAGUUCACGGAUGU